rnacentral:rRNA from 1 species
UGUGGGGCCUGCCGGUCCGGCCCUUUCGGUGUGCGCUGGCAGGGCCCACCUUGUUGCCGGGGACGGGCUCCUGGGCUUCACUGUCCGGGACUCGGAGUCGGCGCUGUUACUUUGAGUAAAUUAGAGUGUUCAAAGCAGGCCUACGCUCUGAAUACAUUAGCAUGGAAUAACACGAUAGGACUCUGGCCUAUCCUGUUGGUCUGUAGGACCGGAGUAAUGAUUAAGAGGGACAGUCGGGGGUAUUCGUAUUCC